UAGGGAAUCUUCCGCAAUGGACGCAAGUCUGACGGAGCAACGCCGCGUGAGUGAAGAAGGAUUUCGGUUCGUAAAACUCUGUUGUUAGAGAAGAACAGCGCAUAGAGUAACUGUUAUGCGUGUGACGGUAUCUAACCAGAAAGCCACGGCUAACUACGUGCCAGCAGCCGCGGUAAUACGUAGGUGGCAAGCGUUGUCCGGAUUUAUUGGGCGUAAAGCGAGCGCAGGCGGUCAAUUAAGUCUGAUGUGAAAGCCCCCGGCUCAACCGGGGAGGGUCAUUGGAAACUGGUUGACUUGAGUGCAGAAGAGGGGAGUGGAAUUCCAUGUGUAGCGGUGAAAUGCGUAGAUAUAUGGAGGAACACCAGUGGCGAAGGCGACUCUCUGGUCUGUAACUGACGCUGAGGCUCGAAAGCGUGGGGAGCGAACAGG
rnacentral:rRNA from 1 species